UGCUGGCAUGUUCGAGAUGGAGAAUGUGAAGGGUGGUAGUCCCUAUGGUGCUGGUACCUAUGCGGGCGAUGGUUCAAGAGUCCCUACCGAGCUUGAACUCGAGACAGCUCGCCACCAGGGAAAGUACUUGGCCACUAUUGCGAAGAAGCUCAAGGGAUCUCCAUGAAUUACUUGUACCUUGACAUAGAGGUCAUUUACAAUUUUUAAACUGA
rnacentral:misc_RNA from 1 species